GACGAACGCUGGCGGCGUGCUUAACACAUGCAAGUCGAACGGAAAGGCCCUGCUUGCAGGGUGCUCGAGUGGCGAACGGGUGAGUAACACGUGGGUGAUCUGCCCCUUACUUUGGGAUAAGCCUGGGAAACUGGGUCUAAUACUGGAUAGGACCAUGCUGUAGGUGGUGUGGUGGAAAGAUUAGUUUCGGUAAGGGAUGAGCUCGCGGCCUAUCAGCUUGUUGGUGGGGUAAUGGCCUACCAAGGCGUCGACGGGUAGCCGGCCUGAGAGGGUGGACGGCCACAUUGGGACUGGGAUACGGCCCGGACUCCUACGGGAGGCAGCAGUGGGGCAUAUUGCACAAUGGGCGCAAGCCUGAUGCAGCGACGCCGCGUGGGGGAUGACGGCCUUCGGGUUGUAAACUCCUUUCAGCCAUGACGAAGCCCUUGUGGUGACGGUAGUGGUAGAAGAAGCACCGGCUAACUACGUG
rnacentral:rRNA from 1 species